ACUUCUUGUUCAUGUCACAUAUCACUUCCUUACAUAACUGGUGCGUGUGCUGUUUGGGAUUCAAUGUCAAUUUAAUUAGAAAUCAACUUGGAUAGUCUAGAUGACCACAACAGUAUGGCCAGUGGAGAGGAUAAUCUAGAUGACCUUGACAGUAUGGCCAGUAAAUUAGACAUUUCAACAUAUUUCACAGGUACACAUGAAGUACAAGAAUGCCUUGAAGGUCAAGGUGAGGCAGAUCUACACACACACCUAUUAAACUGCGAGAAAAAUC